AAACUGAAGGGUUUGAUCCUGGCUCAGAACGAACGCUGGCGGCGUGGUUAAGACAUGCAAGUCGAACGGACUAUUCAAUUGAGUAAUCGAGAGAAUAGUUAGUGGCGUAAGGGUGAGUAAUGGAUAGGUAACGUACCCUGUGCUCCGGAAUAGCGUCAGUUCGCCUUCGGGCGGACAUCCGAAAGGGGCGGUAAUACCGGAUAAUAUCAUUUGUCGACAGGCAGAUGAUCAAAGAUUUAUCGGCAUAGGAGCGGCCUUUCUCUUAUCAGCUUGUUGGUGAGGUAAUGGCUCACCAAGGCGAUGACGGGUAGCGGGACUGAGAGGUUGUUCCGCCACAUCGGGACUGAGACACUGCCCGGACCUCCACGGAGGGCUGCAGUAACGAAUCUUGCGCAAUGGGCGAAAGCCUGACGCAGCGACGCCGCGUGUGGGAGGAAGUCUCUCGGGAUGUAAACCACUGUCAGGGGGAAGAAAGUCCGGUUCGCCGGAUUGAUCCAACCCAGAGGAAGUCACGGCUAACUUCGUGCCAGCAGCCGCGGUAAGACGAAGGUGACAAGCGUUGUUCGGUAUCACUGGGCUUAAAGCGUGUGUAGGCGGAAAGGUAAGCGUUUUGUGAAAGCCCCCGGCUUAACCGGGGAAUAGCUUGACGAACUGCCUUUCUUGAGGCAAGUAGGGGUGCACGGAACUCUUGGUGGAGCGGUGAAAUGCGUAGAUAUCAAGAGGAACGCCGGUGGAGAAAUCGGUGCACUGGGCUUGUCCUGACGCUGAGACACGAAAGCGUGGGGAGCGAACGGGAUUAGAUACCCCGGUAGUCCACGCCGUAAACGAUGUCUACUAGGUUGUGGAGGUUCUGACACUUGCACGGCCGAAGCAAAAGUGAUAAGUAGACCGCCUGGGGAGUACGGCCGCAAGGCUAAAACUCAAAGGAAUUGACGGGGGCUCACACAAGCGGUGGAGCAUGUGGAUUAAUUCGAAGCAACG
rnacentral:rRNA from 1 species